rnacentral:rRNA from 1 species
AAAUGAGGGCUAGUAUGAACGGUAUAAUGAGGGCCUAACUGUCUCCUGAGGCCGAUCAAUGAAAUUGAUAACUCAGUACAAAUGCUGAAAUACACUCACAAGACGAGAAGACCCUGUGGAACUUUAAACACCCCCUGCUAACGCCAACAGCUAAUCUGGCCUCGCCCUAGCAGCCGUUUUAAGUUGGGGCAACUACGGAGUACAAAGACGCCUCCAUGACUAUGGCUCGCUGCUGUAUCUUAGGCCAACACGCCGCCCCAGAAAAUUGACCCAGUACAACUGACUUUCGAACC